AGACAUGAGCUGCGAAAUGAUAUAUGGCCAGGUGCCCCCACCACUGGAAGAAGAUCCAGUGUCAAAACAACCCUGCUAUCCCAGCCUCUGUUCCAUAUCGACGCCCUCCGCUGCAAUAUGUCCCAAAAUUCA